UGGAUCUCCCAGAAGCUGGAAGAAUGGCUGAACAAGACAGAUGUGAUCUGCUCACCCUGCCUCUAGGACUGCAUCUUGUUCUCAGCUGUCUCGUUUUGCUAAACAAAGGACAUAUCUAAAAAAUGCAUCAGCCUCAAGCUGAUCACACCACACGUGGUGAUGAGUAUGCUGGCAGAUGUGACCGUGGAGACCAAUGUUCUGGGCACCCUGGAGUCCCACAGGAGCAGAGGAAAAGGACCAAGCAUGAGAGAACAGGCUGUCUCUUGGGCUUUGGACUGUCUCAUGUCACAGGCUGCCCUAUGCCUGCAAUGAGCUGCGCACACCAGAAGAUGCUUAAAUAUCCACAUAUCUCAUACUGCAGGGAGUUUUCAGCUUGUGGGCGUUUUUAGAAGGCGAGAAUGGGAGGAGUGAAAUGAUCCACGUCCCCGUUGUCUGUAGGAGAAGGAGAUGUAUUCUGUGCAACUUCUAAACAGCCAUACACCAGGAGGAAGAAUUUACUCGGGAGCUGUUCCCAUGUGGUAGCUGUUAUUAAUGGAUUGAUUUUUCAGACAAUAGUACGGCUUCUUGCAGAAACCCAAACUCCAAGAACUUACUGUUUCAGCCAAAAGAAAUCUGUAAAAAAAUGUUUUCUUAAAAAAAAAAUUGUUUAUUUUUUAAAUGUGGAAAAUAGAUUUUUUUUUUUUUUCCUUCAAAGUAAAGCCCAAAAAACACCCUUUGGCUCAACUGUCAAAUCUCUGAAGACUGAAAGUUCAGGAAACCUUCCUUUGGACCCAGCUCCCUUCACUGCUGUCUGCCUUUAAGGGAAGCCACCUCAGGCACAAGGACUUUGUGCAUGGAGGCUAAUGAAGUACAGGAAGCCCUGCUCCCCUGGAGUCUUCAGGGACACAAUACUGUCUUCCCCUGGCAGUCAUACAUCAUGGGACAGCUUCCCAGAAAUCACAAGCAGAUUAAACAUUACAGGAUCUUUUCCCUUGCAAUGGCACAGAUUAAGGGUAACAGCACAAAGAGCAAGUGAAUGCAAAGCCUAUAGGAGAGGUCACAGAGCAUCUUGUGCCAGAUGGUGUUGUAGCUCUCCUGAAAGCUACCAGCUUUGGCUGGCCCCAGACCUCCUCUGGCCCCACACCUGUGGGAAGAGAGGGAGCAAGUACACCCCUGACUUCCUCCUUUGUGUUGAGAUGGCAAAAAACUUCAGGCAGAAACUGCCUCUGGCUGGCUCUGCACAACACCUGCUAAAGUAAGGUCUCAUUUUAGCUGGGGCUCUCAAACAUUACAGUAGUAC
rnacentral:lncRNA from 1 species